rnacentral:rRNA from 1 species
UACGAAGGGGGCUAGCGUUGUUCGGAAUCACUGGGCGUAAAGCGCACGUAGGCGGAUCUUUAAGUCAGGGGUGAAAUCCCGAGGCUCAACCUCGGAACUGCCUUCGAUACUGACGAUCUUCGAGUCCGGGAGAGGUGAGUGGAACUCCGAGUGUAGAGGUGAAAUUCGUAGAUAUUCGGAAGAACACCAGUGGCGAAGGCGGCUCACUGGCCCGGUACUGACGCUGAGAUACGAAAGCGUGGGGAGCAAACAGG